CAAUUUCAGCUUAUGAACCCCUGUAAAGCAAUUUCAGCUUUGCUUCAUGGUAUAUUUGCUUUCUAUCCAGAGGUUAAUUUGUUAGUUUUCUUAAAACAAUGUUUUUCUUAAUGGUCUUAUUGUUUAGAAGUAACAAGUGGACUGGAAAAGUAUAUGGGGCCUAAGUUUAUAACAUUGUCUUCUCAUUAUCAGGGAAAAAGGAGAAGCCAAAGAAGUUCACUAGACAACCAAAAAAGCAGGUAUCUUCACCCUGUGCCCAGAGGAAAGAAAAGGCAUUGGAGAAGUCAGCUUCUAGAGAUGUGUCUCCUUUCGUUAUGAGUAUGCAGAAGAAUAAGUGGGAUGCCACAAGAUCCUUGAGAUUCAACCAGGAUGCACAAAGAGAAGACGAUCAACGGCGAAUGACUGAAAUUACAGGGCACCUAAUAAAAAUGAGAUUGGGGGAUCUGGACCGAGUCAAGUCAAAGGAAGCAAAAGAAACAGACAAACUGAGACCCAGAGACGGCACUGUGUCUAAGAGCAACAGAAAAAGUGGUUUGAGCAGUGUGCUCUUGAUGACAGUGUUGCUGUGUUAAACGAAUUAAUACAUGAAAGGACUUGGAAUACUGCUUGACAUAUCUUUCCAAGGCAGGAAAGGUAAAGAGACAAAGAAAGUGCCUUGUACAGAUGCAAACGGAGGUGUAGACUGUGCAGCUGCCAAAGUGGUGACAAGCAAUCCAGAGGACCAUGAAAGGAUCUUAAUGCAAGUCAUGAACUUGAAUGUGCCGAUGAGGCCUGGCAUUCUUGUCCAGAGACAGAGUAAGGAAGUGUUGGCCACACCCUUAGAAAACAGAAGGGACAUGGAGGCAGAAGAGGAGAACCAAAUAAAUGAGAAGCAAGAGCCUGAGAAUGCUGGAGAAACUGGUCAAGAAGAGGAUGAUGGUUUGCAGAAAAUACACACAUCUGUCACUAGAACUCCUUCAGUUGUUGAAAGCCAAAAAAGACCUUUAAAAGGAGUGACAUUUUCUAGGGAGGUAAUUGUUGUGGAUCUUGGGAAUGAAUACCCUACACCUCGAAGCUAUACUCGAGAACAUAAAGAGAGGAAAUGAAGCUCAAAAAAGGGUAAGAGUGAAAGAAAAUGUAACGUUUGACUAACGUUGAAAGACUGAGGGUACAAAAUCAUGUUGAAACAACAAAACAAUGGGGAAUUAAGCAAAUAAAGAUAUUAUUUUACCUUUGUGCAGAAAGGAGUGAGCCAUGUGCAAAAUUCUGUAAGUAAAAUACUUAGAGCUUGAAUAUAAUUUUUUAAAAAUUCAAAUCUGAGUUCAAGAAAUUGAUUGUAUUGCCCUUAAAACUAUCUACUCAAACACUGUUCUGGCAUGUGAAUAAAGUGAUUUUUGUUUGUAC
ensembl:lncRNA novel transcript